rnacentral:rRNA from 1 species
GACGAACGCUGGCGGCGUGCUUAACACAUGCAAGUCGAACGGAAAGGCCCUGCUUUUGUGGGGUGCUCGAGUGGCGAACGGGUGAGUAACACGUGAGUAACCUGCCCUUGACUUUGGGAUAACUUCAGGAAACUGGGGCUAAUACCGGAUAGGAGCUCCUGCUGCAUGGUGGGGGUUGGAAAGUUUCGGCGGUUGGGGAUGGACUCGCGGCUUAUCAGCUUGUUGGUGGGGUAGUGGCUUACCAAGGCUUUGACGGGUAGCCGGCCUGAGAGGGUGACCGGCCACAUUGGGACUGAGAUACGGCGCAGACUCCUACGGGAGGCAGCAGGGGGGAAUAUUGCACAAUGGGCGGAAGCCUGAUGCAGCAACGCCGCGGGCGGGAUGACGGCCUUCGGGUUGUAAACCGCUUUCGCCUGUGACGAAGCGUGAGUGACGGUAAUGGGUAAAGAAGCACCGGCUAACUACGUG